GACGAACGCUGGCGGCGUGCUUAACACAUGCAAGUCGAACGGUGAAGCGCCUUCCUUUUUGGUGGGUGUGGAUGAGUGGCGAACGGGUGAGUAACACGUGCGUAACCUGCCCCCUUCUUCUGGAUAACCGAAUGAAAGUGUGGCUAAUACGGGAUCUCCUGGGUCUGUCGCAUGAUGGGUCUGGGUAAGAUAUUGUUUCGGUGGGGGCUGGGCGCGCGGCCUAUCAGCUUGUUGGUGGGAUGCUGGCCUACGACGGCGGUGCCGGGUAGCCGGCCUGGGGGGGUAGACGGUCACAGUGGGACUGCGACACGGCCCGGACUCCUACGGGAGGCAGCAGGGUGGGGGAUGGAACAGUGGGGGAAAUCCUGCUGCAGCGACGCCGCGGGUGCGAUGGAGGCCUGCGGGGGGUGAACCUCUUUCGCUUGUGAAGCGGGCCUGCCUCGUAUGUGGGUUGAGUGACAGUAGCUGGUUAAGAAGCGCCGGCUAACUACGUG
rnacentral:rRNA from 1 species